AAUAUAGCUAUGAAAGAGGAGAUAUUAAUAUAACCUACAAUUAAUAAAGAGUCUAGUUCUAUGCACUACUGUUUCCUUUUAAAGAAAAGAUCGUUGUGGUAUGAUACAUAAAAUAUUUGAGUUCUGUGACCUGUAUGUAUAUAUCAAUGUAUUUUUAACAGCAAGCCAAUAAAAAAUUCACCUGAGUUAUAUACAUAAAUACUUAUAUGGAUAUGUAGAUAUCGAUAUAAUGCUUGGUACUUAAAACAAUUUUUGUGUCACAGGUUUGACCAGCAUGAAUGCAAAAGGGAGAAAGCAAAGACUUCAUGGAGAAAAGCAUUAAACAAGACCUGUGGUCUCCGCCCAGCACCAGGCUGGUCCUUCCAUUCUUCUUCACCUCUGCCACCACACCAGCCAGCUGUUCAUUCGCUUUUCCCACAGACCUUGGAUUCUUCACAAUUUCAAAGGGAGGAUCAUUAGGGACGUCAACAAAGGGCAGGUCCCCGUAAUCUUUCACAUCACACCCUGUAAUUAACACCAAAAGUUUCAGGUUACUACAUAAAAAAAGAUGACAGUCUGUGUAUCAUGAUUCCAAAUUUACAAAACAGUGCACUUUUAUAAGCAAAGAAAGCAUCUGGAAGGGCUGUAAAAGUUGCAAAGGCAGAAAAAUCCACGUCUACUUUUGCCUGACGUCAUCCUCUCAGCUGUACACCGGGGUCUCGGUCAAUACUUGUGGAAUCAAUCCAGUUAGGCUGGACGCUAAAGUAUGACAGCGAUAAUCUUCUGGUUUGGGCUUAACGAGUGGCUUCGCUGUCUUGAUCUCUGUGUGGCCUUCUCUCUGCCUAUGUUCUUUCCACCUUUGCAAUAAGCGUGUCUUGUAUUUAUAAUAAAAAAGUUUUUUUUAGAAGAA